UCUGACCUCAAAUCAGGUAGGGCUACCCGCUGAACUUAA
rnacentral:rRNA from 1 species